UCACAGAUUAAAAUCCUUCAGUAGAAUCAUUUAAAUUCAUCAUCAAUCUUUUCAAAGAUGUAGAAAAUCUUAGGAGAAAAAUAAUGUGGAGAGAUAAUUUCUAGAGAGAGAUAAAUAAUCUAGAGAGGAACAAUUUUAGAGAGAGAAAGUGGAGAGAGAAACUAGAGAGAGAAAGAGAGGAAAGAGAGAGGACAGGAGAGAG
rnacentral:lncRNA from 1 species